GUGCUUGCUUUGGUGACCCAUCUAAAACUUGAAUGAUACAGGGAAGGUUACUAUGGUCCUUGGGCAAAGAUGACAACGCAAAUUUGUGAAGCCAUUCACAUUUUU
ensembl:snRNA U6 U6 spliceosomal RNA